rnacentral:rRNA from 1 species
UACGGGGGGGGCAAGCGUUGUCCGGAAUUACUGGGCGUAAAGAGUUCGUAGGCGGUUUGUCGCGUCGUUUGUGAAAACCAGCAGCUCAACUGCUGGCUUGCAGGCGAUACGGGCAGACUUGAGUACUGCAGGGGAGACUGGAAUUCCUGGUGUAGCGGUGAAAUGCGCAGAUAUCAGGAGGAACACCGGUGGCGAAGGCGGGUCUCUGGGCAGUAACUGACGCUGAGGAACGAAAGCGUGGGUAGCGAACAGG